AUCAGAAGGCAUCACACGCCUGGCUGCGCUGAGCAGGAGGAACGUAAGGCCUACAACUUUCCUCCCCAUAGGUGUCCCCGGUGCACGUAGUGGAGAGCCUCAGUUGACAUCGAACACACCCCCUAAGCGGGAGAACAACUGAAUAGAAAGGCUGUUCACGAAGCUGGAUCAUCCUGGUCACGAGGCUUCGCCAGGACCGAGUAAAUCCAUCACUGGGAUAAUUCCACUCCUCCCUGAUUGACUUCUGGUGAGGCAGUUUGUCUAGCAACCAUGUGUCUUCACUUACAACCGACGGCCCUUCCCACGGGAAGGCAGCUGGCAGGGCGCGCCCGCAACGAGCGCGAACUUAACCUCACACACCAGGUUAUCGCUGCAAAGGAGCGGACACCUCGCUGCUGUUUUCCGCCGCCUCCCUUGCCUGGAGUUUUGUUCACCACACCCCUCGGUUCCGGAGCUGAUCUCUGUAACCACUGCCUGCGCCUAGAGGGCAGUAGCGACAGCCCAGUUCCAGACGGAGCGGGGCCCAGAAGCACACCGCGGGGGGCGGAGAAACCGAAGCAAAUCCAUCUCAGUUCUGAAAAGAAUGGGCC